rnacentral:rRNA from 1 species
UACGUAGGGUGCGAGCGUUGUCCGGAAUUAUUGGGCGUAAAGGGCUCGUAGGCGGUUUGUCGCGUCGGGAGUGAAAACCAGGUGCUUAACACCUGGCUUGCUUUCGAUACGGGCAGACUAGAGGCAUGCAGGGGAGAACGGAAUUCCUGGUGUAGCGGUGAAAUGCGCAGAUAUCGAGAGGAACACCUGCGGCGAAGGCGGGUUGCUGGGCUGAUACUGACGCUGAGGCGCGAAAGCCAGGGGAGCGAACGGG